GUAAGAUGAUGAAAACAUGCGUGUCAUUUGACCCAGGUGAUUGUUUAUUUGCUUUUAGAAUUGUGAUGUUUUAUCGCUGUUUGAUAGAGCUUAUAAUGCAUCAUCUGGUAAAUGAUUUAAUUUUUUUCUGAUUAC
rfam:Crassostrea gigas strain 05x7-T-G4-1.051#20 contig1170, whole genome shotgun sequence.